rnacentral:rRNA from 1 species
AUUGAACGCUGGCGGCAGGCCUAACACAUGCAAGUCGAACGGUAACAGGAAGACGCUUGCUUCUUUGCUGACGAGUGGCGGACGGGUGAGUAAUGUCUGGGAAACUGCCUGAUGGAGGGGGAUAACUACUGGAAACGGUAGCUAAUACCGCAUAACGUCGCAAGACCAAAGAGGGGGACCUUCGGGCCUCUUGCCAUCGGAUGUGCCCAGAUGGGAUUAGCUAGUAGGUGGGGUAACGGCUCACCUAGGCGACGAUCCCUAGCUGGUCUGAGAGGAUGACCAGACACACUGGAACUGAGACACGGUCCAGACUCCUACGGGAGGCAGCAGUGGGGAAUAUUGCACGAUGGGCGCAAGCCUGAUGCAGCCAUGCCGCGUGUAUGAAGAAGGCCUUCGGGUUGUAAAGUACUUUCAGCGGGGAGGAAGGGAGUAAAGUUAAUACCUGUGCUCAUUGACGUUACCCGCAGAAGAAGCACCGGCUAACUCCGUG